GUUUCCAUAGUCUAGUGGUUAGGACGGCGGUCUCAUAUGAAAAUAUGACAGUUCCUAUCUAAAGGAAUUGGUAAUCCGCAAGCACGAGUUCGAUUCUCGUUGGAAGCA
rnacentral:tRNA from 1 species